GAAUGAUUGGUUAUAAUAAUAUCCUAUCUAUCGGAAAACUGCAAAACGUAAAGUGUGCUGUUCGAUUUUAUACCCGUAAUAGCAGAAAAGAAUGUUUUGACAGAAGCGUAAACGACGAGAAGGAUUACCCGUUUUGUGGCUCAGCGGAGGAAACAGAAUCAUCAAUCAGCAAAGUUAAAACCGGCAGCAAAACGGCAUUGGACGAACAUGAAAAUUUGCAGACAUAAACACGUCCUCGUAUACUUCAAUGCAUCGAGAAGCUUCGAAAUAUGGAAGAACGCCAGCAAACUAAAAAGACUAACAAGCCAGGGAGAAACGAGAAUAGUUGACA